AAUAGACAUAUAAUAAUUAGACCGCUAUUGUCGCUGCAAAUCGUGUGACAAACAUCUAGUAUGCGAAUUUUGAAGAUGGUACUCAAAGUGUCAAAUUUUCUUCAAUAGAACCAUAGUAACCGGGUUUUAAAAUCAAAAUAAACAUUGUCGCAAUUAUUGCCACCUCACGUCCGUGUUGUGUGUUUUCGUAAGAAUCAGGUGCAUCAUGAAGAAUUUAAAUCCAUAUGCAGACGAAAGUCCCGUCUAGCCGUGUCCUUCGAAAGGUUCCCCACAGUGACGGUGUUUCAAUGGAUGGCGUCGAAUAUAAGAAGUUUAAAAUGCCUCUUGUCCCCACGGAUUUUUAUAUUCUAACAGAGAGGAAAAAUAAGAAGUAAAUCAUCGAUAAUAGAUUCUGAUAAGCAGUUCAACUGAUUUGCCCGCAGCCGAUCACAAAAGUUUGUGGAUCGUUCAAGGAUGAAAAAGGGUACAGGUUUUGUAAACCAUAAUGUGAUUAAUUUUGCUGCAAAUAAAUAUUGUGAUGCUCAGAGGAAAUGUAGUUUUUGAGCCUCCAAA